rnacentral:rRNA from 1 species
UUCCUACGGGGGGCAGCAGUGAGGAAUAUUGUUCAAUGGACGAGAGUCUGAACCAGCCAAGUAGCGUGAAGGAUGACUGCCCUAUGGGUUGUAAACUUCUUUUAUAUGGGAAUAAAAUGUUCCACGUGUGGGAUUUUGUAUGUACCAUAUGAAUAAGGAUCGGCUAACUCCGUGCCAGCAGCCGCGGUAAUACGGAGGAUCCGUGCGUUAUCCGGAUUUAUUGGGUUUAAAGGGAGCGUAGGUGGAUUGUUAAGUCAGCGGUAAAAUCGC